CCUACGGGAGGCAGCAGUGAGGAAUAUUGGUCAAUGGACGAGAGUCUGAACCAGCCAAGUAGCGUGAAGGAUGACUGCCCUAUGGGUUGUAAACUGCUUUUAUACAGGAAUAAAACGAGGCACGUGUGCCGCUUUGCAUGUACUUUAUGAAUAAGGACCGGCUAAUUCCGUGCCAGCAGCCGCGGUAAUACGGAGGAUCCGGGCGUUAUCCGGAUUUAUUGGGUGUAAAGGGAGCGUAGGCAGGUUGUCAAGCGUGUUGUGAAAUGUUGCGGCUCAACCCGGGCAUUGCAGCUCGAACUGGCGUGCGUGAGUGCGGGGAAAGCAGGCGGAAUUCGGUGUGUAGGGGUGAAAUGCUUAGAUAUGACGAAGAACCCAGAGUGGGAAGGCAGCUGGGUGCAGCGGAAAUGACGCUGAUGCUCGAAAGGGCGGGUAUCGAACAGGAUUAGAUACCCUGGGAGUC
rnacentral:rRNA from 1 species